rnacentral:ncRNA from 2 species
AGAGUUUGAUCCUGGCUCAGUGCGGUUGGAUCACCUCCUUAGAGUUUGAUCAUGGCUCAGAGUGAACGCUGGCGGUGUGCUUAACACAUGCAAGUCGAACGAGAACGGGUCUAGCUUGCUAGACUGUCAGCUAAGUGGCGGACGGGUGAGUAAUGUAUAGUUAAUCUGCCCCCUAGAGAGGGAUAACUACUGGAAACGGUAGCUAAUACCUCAUACUCCUUUUGCCUUAAUGGUAAUUGGGAAAUGUCUUUUCGCUAGGGGAUGAGACUAUAUGGUAUCAGGUAGUUGGUGGGGUAAAAGCCUACCAAGCCAAUGACGCCUAGCUGGUCUGAGAGGAUGAUCAGCCACACUGGAACUGAGACACGGUCCAGACUCCUACGGGAGGCAGCAGUGGGGAAUAUUGCACAAUGGGCGAAAGCCUGAUGCAGCAACACCGCGUGGAGGAUGACACAUUUNGGUGCGUAAACUCCUUUUAUAUGGGAAGAUANGGACGGACCAA